rnacentral:rRNA from 1 species
ACGGAGGGAGCUAGCGUUGUUCGGAAUUACUGGGCGUAAAGCGCACGUAGGCGGCUUUGUAAGUUAGGGGUGAAAGCCCGGAGCUCAACUCCGGAAUUGCCUUUAAGACUGCAUCGCUUGAAUCCGGGAGAGGUGAGUGGAAUUCCGAGUGUAGAGGUGAAAUUCGUAGAUAUUCGCAAGAACACCAGUGGCGAAGGCGGCUCACUGGCCCGGUACUGACGCUGAGGUGCGAAAGCGUGGGGAGCAAACGGGA